GAUAAACGCUGGCGGCGUGCUUUAUGCAUGCAAGUCGAACGGCUUUGAUUUAUCAAGGCAGUGGCGAAUGGGUGAGUAACACGUAAGUAACCUGCCCCUAAGUGGAGAAUAACCUCGGGAAACCGGAGUUAAUACUGCAUGUGGUGAUGGAGCUUAUGCUCUGUCACUAAAGCCUUCGGGCGCUUGGGGAGGGGCUUGCGUCCGAUUAGCUAGUUGGUAGGGUAACGGCCUACCAAGGCAAUGAUCGGUAGCUGGUCUGAGAGGAUGGUCAGCCACACUGGGACUGAGACACGGCCCAGACUCCUACGGGAGGCAG
rnacentral:rRNA from 1 species